rnacentral:lncRNA from 1 species
CCCCUUCUCUAUAUUUAGCAGCACCAAUUACAGCCUUUCUAUUUCUCGCUCUUAUCUACAGAAACCAAAAUUCUCUUCUUCUUUCUUUUUACCUUCUUUGCAUUUACCCCCCCCUCCUCUCCCCUCCCUCCCUUCUCUCUGUUCUUAAAUAUUGGACGAUUUGUGGGUGCUCCAAGGAGAGAAAGAUACAGUCUUUACUGUUUUCCCCUUUCUGGGUUUCUUCUGGCCUGGGUGGGUUUAAUUUCUUUUGUUGGUCUGGGUUUUUGUGGGGUGCAAAAAAACAUGGGGAGGGGAAAGAUUGAGAUCAAAAGGAUUGAGAAUGCAA